AUUGAACGCUGGCGGCAGGCUUAACACAUGCAAGUCGAGCGGAGAUGAGGUGCUUGCACCUUAUCUUAGCGGCGGACGGGUGAGUAAUGCUUAGGAAUCUGCCUAUUAGUGGGGGACAACAUUCCGAAAGUAAUGCUAAUACCGCAUACGUCCUACGGGAGAAAGCAGGGGAUCUUCGGACCUUGCGCUAAUAGAUGAGCCUAAGUCGGAUUAGCUAGUUGGUGGGGUAAAGGCCUACCAAGGCGACGAUCUGUAGCGGGUCUGAGAGGAUGAUCCGCCACACUGGGACUGAGACACGGCCCAGACUCCUACGGGAGGCAGCAGUGGGGAAUAUUGGACAAUGGGGGGAACCCUGAUCCAGCCAUGCCGCGUGUGUGAAGAAGGCCUUAUGGUUGUAAAGCACUUUAAGCGGGGAGGAGGCUACUGAGACUAAUACUCUUGGAUAGUGGACGUUACUCGCAGAAUAAGCACCGGCUAACUCUGUGCCAGCCGCCGCGGUAAAAC
rnacentral:rRNA from 1 species